AGUGAAACGGGACGAGCUCAUCGCCGAAGCCGGCGGUCGAAAGGCCGUCGUGCAAUGUGGCGUUCGGGCGGAAUCGCUGUCGACAGCCGUUGCCGGUCAAAGUCUCCUGGAAUGGGGCACCAUAGAGGGUGACAGUCCCGUACGGCCGCGUGACGUGUUGUCGAGACAAUUUCGCUCUCGAGUCGGGUUGCUCGCUAAUGCAGCCCUAAGCAGGUGGUAAGCUCCAUCUAAAGCUGAAUACAACCACAAGUCCGAUAGUCAACAAGUACAGUGAUGGAAAGUUGAAAAGUACUCUGACGAGAGAGUCAAACAGCCCGUGAAGCUGCUAAUAUGGGAUUAAGCGCACGUGUGACGCGUGUCGCUGGACAAAUAGGUGUCGAUCCGCGACUGCACAAUGUGUGUGCCGGCGUGCACUUUGCCGUGUGCGUCGCGCUGUAUUGUGGCGUGUGGUGUCGGUGUCGAGCGCCUCCCUUUGUUCAGCAUUGGCACGUCGAGGCGACGUUGUGCCCGGUCCAAUUGCCGACUGUUAGUUGUCGAGCCGAACUCGGCCGACCGGUGUCUUCGGGCGCCGGUCGGUGUUGCGCCGGUCGUGCGUCUUGCCUUGCGGUGGGGCGGCGGUGUCGGGUUCGGUCGGCGAUGUGAUGCAGCUGUGAGUGCUAGAGACCGCGCGACGGCCUGCGUACGGGGUGCCCGCUUGCGGGUGCUCCGCUCGGCGUUUGCGUUGUCACGUGCGGCCCGUCUUGAAACACGGACCAAGGAGUCUAACAUGUGAGCAAGCGAUUGAGAUCGGGCGAAUCUCAAACGCACAAUGAAAGUGAAGUGUCGCUUCGAGCGACAUGAGCGGAGAUCCGUGUCGCUUCGGCGGCACGGCGCAUCCGCGGGCCGCGCUAUCGGCUAGCUUGUUGGCGCCUCACCGUGUCAACACUGCUGAGGCGUGGACCGAGAGCCCACAUGUUGGGACCCGAAAGAUGGUGAACUAUGCUUGAUCAGGAUGAAGCCAGGGGAAACCCUGGUGGAGGUCCGUAGCGAUUCUGACGUGCAAAUCGAUCGUCUGAGUUGAGUAUAGGGGCGAAAGACCAAUCGAACCAUCUAGUAGCUGGUUCCGCCCGAAGUUUCCCUCAGGAUAGCUGGCGUUCGCGGGAUACGGAGUUUCAUCCAGUAAAGCGAAUGAUUAGAGGAUACUGGGCUCUUCGCGAGCUCAACCUAUUCUCAAACUUUCAAUGGGUGAGACGUUGCGCUGUCUUCACUACUGCAGCGCAACUCUGAAUCCGAGUGCCCAGUGGGCCAUUUUUGGUAAGCAGAACUGGCGAUGCGGGAUGAACCGUACGCUCGAGUUGAGGUGCCUAAGCAAACGCUCAUCAGAUACCAUGAAAGGUGUUGAUUGCUCACAACAGCAGGACGGUGGCCAUGGAAGUCGGCAUCCGCUAAGGAGUGUGUAACAACUCACCUGCCGAAGCAAUCAGCCCUGAAAAUGGAUGGCGCUACAGCGUUUCACCGAUACUCGACCGUCGUUGCAUGCGGCACUCGCAAGGGUGUCUUAGGCAACGACGAGUAGGGCGGCGCGGCGGUGCGCGUUGAAGGCAUAGCCGUGAGGCUAGCUGGAGCCGCCGUCGGUGCAGAUCUUGGUGGCAGUAGCAAUUACACAAGCGAGACCCUUGUGGACCGAUGUGGAGAAGGGUUCCACGCGAACAGUACUUGGACGUGGGUGAGUCGGUCCUAAGCCCACGGGUAAUUUCCGCAUCCCGACGCGUAUGCCUUCAGUGCAAUUGUGUUCACACGCGUGCGGGUUGUC
rnacentral:rRNA from 1 species